rnacentral:tRNA from 4 species
GAGCUCGUAGCUCAGCUGGUAGAGCACGCGCCUUUUAAGCGUGGGGUCGCGGGUUCGAGUCCCGCCGGGCUCA